CCCAGACUCCUACGGGAGGCAGCAGUGAGGAAUAUUGGUCAAUGGCCGAAGGGCUGAACCAGCCAAGCCGCGUGAAGGAAUAAGGCCCUACGGGUCGUAAACUUCUUUAGUCAGGGAACAAAGGGUGCCACGUGUGGCGCUGUGAGUGUACCUGAAGAAUAAGCAUCGGCUAACUCCGUGCCAGCAGCCGCGGUAAUACGGAGGAUGCGAGCGUUAUCCGGAUUUAUUGGGUUUAAAGGGUGCGUAGGCGGGUUGGUAAAGUCGGGGGAAAAAGCCGGGGGCCCAACCCCGGCGAGCCGUUGAAACUGGCGGGCUGGAGUUGGAGAGAAGUACGCGGAAUGCGCGGUGUAGCGGUGAAAUGCUUAGAUAUCGCGCAGAACCCCGAUUGCGAAGGCAGCGUACCGGCUCCACACUGACGCUGAGGCACGAAAGCGUGGGUAUCGAACAGGAUUAGAUACCCGAGUAUA
rnacentral:rRNA from 1 species